UACGGAGGGAGCUAGCGUUGUUCGGAAUUACUGGGCGUAAAGCGCGCGUAGGCGGCUUUGUAAGUUAGAGGUGAAAGCCCGGAGCUCAACUCCGGAACUGCCUUUAAAACUGCAAUCGCUUGAAUCCAGGAGAGGUGAGUGGAAUUCCUAGUGUAGAGGUGAAAUUCGUAGAUAUUAGGAAGAACACCAGUGGCGAAGGCGGCUCACUGGUCCGGUACUGACGCUGAGGUGCGAAAGCGUGGGGAGCAAACAGGAGUUAGAA
rnacentral:rRNA from 1 species